UACGAAGGGGCUAGCGUUGCUCGGAAUCACUGGGCGUAAAGGGUGCGUAGGCGGGUCUUUAAGUCAGGGGUGAAAAUCCUGGAGCUCAACUCCAGAACUGCCUUUGAUACUGAGGAUCUUGAGUUCGGGAGAGGUGAGUGGAACUGCGAAGUGUAGAGGUGAAAUUCGUAGAUAUUCGCAAAGAACACCAGUGGCGAAGGCGGACUCAC
rnacentral:rRNA from 1 species